AACGCAUAUUGCACUCCUCGGUAUUCCUUGGAGUAUAUCUGUUUCAGUAUCAUAAAGUACUAUCAAGCCUUUAGGCUUGGAAAUGGGCUUCGUAGCAGACUUUCUUCUACUGGCCUGAAAUUCAUUCGUGGCCGCUCUUGUCAAAGAUAGAGGCGUCAUAGUUGACUUUCGUCAUCUUUCGCUGACUACUUUUGAAAGUGCAUUAGACUACGUUAAAUUUUUCAUCACUUGAUCUGAAAUCAGAUAAGAUUACCCGCUGAACUUAA
rnacentral:misc_RNA from 1 species